UUUUAUUUCACAAAAUUCUUUAAUUUUUGGAAAUGUCUCAAAAUCAGCCUUGUGGACAUGUUUAGCAAUUUUUAUGUUACAUUUAUAGAUUUUAUAGAUUUCUGUUAUACUUAUAUAACCAACCACUGCUUGUAAAAACACAGUAUGACAAUAUGCAAAUAAAUUAAAAACAAACAGAACAUGCUAAUACAAUUUCCUCUAGGUGAAACUACAUAGAUGCUUGUCAUAACUACUGACAAAACUGAGCAAUGUUUAAACAGGAUCUGAUGUCAUUCAGCUGCUUCCCUCCAUCUGCAUGAAGCAGUAUACAGACAUGUAAAGUGGACUUCAGGGGAAUGACACACUUUCUCUUUCUCUGCCUACAGGAGUGAGUUACAGCAGCUGCAGUCACAGUGUGAGGUGUUUCAAAGAAAAAUUCAAGAGUCGACAGAAAAACUAACAUUGAGAGACGACCAAAUCAAAGCCUUGGUGAAAGAGAGAAUUCAGUAUUCAUUUAGAAAACAUUCACCUGCCAGUUUGCUCACAGGAUAUUUGAUCAAAUCCAUCAAAAUAUUAUGAAGUCAUUUAAAAUUUUUUGAAUAUUCUGAUUGUAACAAUCAUGAGCUCAUGUUACUUCCUUUUUUUUUAUCCCCUGAAAAAGCUUUUGUGCCAAUUAUUCAUUUCACUUACCUUUUUUUAAGGUCAAAACAUUAAAAGCUGGAAAAGAUGAUAAAGAAGAGAUAUUUAUGAUAAAGAAGAAUGAAGUAUUGCAGCUUCAAAACCAAAUACAAACAUCUAAACUUGAAGGUGAUGAAAAGUUGUCUGUAUUGGGUGCAAACUUAAGCCAAACGCGAGACAAAAACAAAGAACACAAAUUGGAAAUUGAAGACUACAAGAGAAAGAUCUACUAAAGGUUUGUCCCAUAAGCUUCAGAUCACACAACAUUUUAGUUUGAAUUUAAAGUAUAUUCCUGGAUAUUAGUGAUUGUCACUAAUGAUUAGCUGUGUCUGCUGUGUUUUGCAUUAAUACGUUAUGUUGCAACAGUAAAAGGCCUAGUCUGCAUUUAUUUCACAGAAAAAUUCAGAAUAUAGUAAUUUAUUGUAAAAUCCUGGUGAUAUUUAAAGGGGUCAUCGGAUGCCCCGAAGUUGAUACGAUUAUUGAGGGUCUCAAUGAAACGUCUGUAACAUAGUUUGGUUAAAAUUUCUCAAUGGUAGUGUAAAACAACACAGUUUUUACCGUCAAGAACAGCUCUUUUCAGAGCAAUCCAUUUUGUAGCAUUUUCCUUUAAAUGCAAAUGAGCUCUGCUGACCCCGCCCCUCUCUUCCGAGCAGAUCUCUGAGGGACUGUUUACUUUAGCAGCGUUCAUCGUGAAACUUGCUAAUUAGCACAUUAUUAGGAAAGGCCACUUGCAAAGAUUAAUAAAAAAAACUGCAAUACUUAUACA
ensembl:lncRNA